GCUGUAGCUCAGUUGUAUAGCAUCAGCCCUGUAUGCGGGAGAUCGCGAGUUCAAUCCCCGGCAUCUCCA